AUUGAACGCUGGCGGCAGGCCUAACACAUGCAAGUCGAGCGAGCGGCGGACGGGUGAGUAAUGUCUGGGAAACUGCCUGAUGGAGUGGGAUAACUACUGGAAACGGUAGCUAAUACCGCAUACCAUCAGAUGUGCCCAGAUGGGAUUGGCUAGUAGGUGGGGUAACUGCUCACCUAGGCGACGAUACCUAGCUGGUCUAAGAGGAGGACCAGGCACACUGAAACGGGGACACGGUCCGGGCUCCGACGAGUGGGAGCAGUGGGGAAUAUUGCACAAUGGGCGCUAGCCUGAUGCAGCCAUGCCGCGUGUGUGAAGAAGGCCUUCGGGUUGUAAAGCACUUUCAGCGGGGAGGCGUUACCCGCAGAGGGAGCACCGGCUAACUCCGUGCCAGCAGCCGCGGUAAUUC
rnacentral:rRNA from 1 species